rnacentral:rRNA from 1 species
UAGUAACUGCGAGUGAAGCGGGAAAAGCUCAAAUUUAAAAUCUGGCGUGCCGGUGGCCGUCCGAGUUGUAGUCUGGAGAAGCGUCUUCCGUGCUGGACCGUGUACAAGUCCCUUGGAAUAGGGCGUCAUAGAGGGUGAGAAUCCCGUCUUUGACACGGACUGCCAGUGCUCUGUGAUGCGCUCUCAACGAGUCGAGUUGUUUGGGAAUGCAGCUCAAAAUGGGUGGUAAAUUCCAUCUAAAGCUAAAUAUAGGCGAGAGACCGAUAGCGAACAAGUACCGUGAGGGAAAGAUGAAAAGCACUUUGGAAAGAGAGUUAAACAGUACGUGAAAUUGCUGAAAGGGAAACGCUUGAAGUCAGCCGUGUCUGCCGGAACUCAGCCUUGUAAAAUUGGUGCAUUUUCUGGUUAAAGACAGGUCAGCGUCGAUUUUGAUCAUUAGAAAAAGGCAAAGGGAAGGUGGCACCUUUUUGGUGUGUUAUAGCCCUUUGUUGUAUAUAAUGGUUAGGAUCGAGGACUGCAGCACGGCCUUUAUUGGCUUGGUGGGGUUUGCGCUCCACACAAAAAUGUGCUUAGGAUGCUGGCUUUAAUGGCUUUAAGCGACCCGUCUUGAAACACGGACCAAGGAGUCUAACAUGCGUGCGAGUGUUUGGGUGGAAAAACCCGAGCGCGUAAUGAAAGUGAUAGUUGAGACCUCCUGUUAUAGGGAGGGCAUCGACGCCUGGACCUGAUCUAUGGAGACGGUUCUACGGUAGAGCAUGUAUGUUGGGACCCGAAAGAUGGUGAACUAUGCCUGAAUAGGGUGAAGCCAGAGGAAACUCUGGUGGAAGCUCGUAGCGAUUCUGACGUGCAAAUCGAUCGUCAAAUUUGGGUAUAGGGGCGAAAGACUAAUCGAACCAUCUAGUAGCUGGUUCCUGCCGAAGUUUCCCUCAGGAUAGCAGAAACUCGUAUCAGAUUUAUGUGGUAAAGCGAAUGAUUAGAGGCCUUGGGGUCGAAACGACCUUAACCUAUUCUCAAACUUUAAAUAUGUAAGAACGGGCCGUCACUUGAUUUGGACUGCUCGGUACGAUUGAAAUUU